AUUGAACGCUGGCGGCAGGCCUAACACAUGCAAGUCGAGCGGAUGAAGGGAGCUUGCUCCUGGAUUCAGCGGCGGACGGGUGAGUAAUGCCUAGGAAUCUGCCUGGUAGUGGGGGAUAACGUCCGGAAACGGGCGCUAAUACCGCAUACGUCCUGAGGGAGAAAGUGGGGGAUCUUCGGACCUCACGCUAUCAGAUGAGCCUAGGUCGGAUCAGCUAGUUGGUGGGGUAAAGGCCUACCAAGGCGACGAUCCGUAACUGGUCUGAGAGGAUGAUCAGUCACACUGGAACUGAGACACGGUCCAGACUCCUACGGGAGGCAGCAGUGGGGAAUAUUGGACAAUGGGCGAAAGCCUGAUCCAGCCGUGCCGCGUGUGUGAAGAAGGUCUUCGGAUUGUAAAGCACUUUAAGUUGGGAGGAAGGGCAGUAAGUUAAUACCUUGCUGUUUUGACGUUACCAACAGAAUAAGCACCGGCUAACUUCGUG
rnacentral:rRNA from 1 species